GACGAACGCUGGCGGCGUGCUUAACACAUGCAAGUCGAACGGAAAGGCCCUGCUUUUGUGGGGUGCUCGAGUGGCGAACGGGUGAGUAACACGUGAGUAACCUGCCCUUGACUUUGGGAUAACUUCAGGAAACUGGGGCUAAUACCGGAUAGGAGCUCCUGCUGCAUGGUGGGGGUUGGAAAGUUUCGGCGGUUGGGGGUGGACUCGCGGCUUAUCAGCUUGUUGGUGGGGUAGUGACUUACCAAGGCUUUGACGGGUAGCCGGCCUGAGAGGGUGACCGGCCACAUUGGGACUGAGAUACGGCCCAGACUCCUACGGGAGGCAGCAGUGGGGAAUAUUGCACAAUGGGCGGAAGCCUGAUGCAGCAACGCCGCGUGCGGGAUGACGGCCUUCGGGUUGUAAACCGCUUUCGCCUGUGACGAAGCGUGAGUGACGGUAAUGGGUAAAGAAGCACCGGCUAACUACGUG
rnacentral:rRNA from 1 species